AGCAGGGUAUUUAGUUAGGUGUGCCCUUGCGAUUAAUAGCUGUGGAAAGAAGAAGAAGGAAGCAGGAAUGGCAAAUGAGAGAAGUCAAGCUAAGAUGCAGUUAACCCCAUUGAUACUCUUAGUUAACUCCACUGGAGCUCCUGAAAUAGAAUGUUAGAAUUCUCCUGCAUUGGGCCAAAAUAGCCAGGUCUUUAUCCUCCUGCAACCAUCAGGAGCUACCCACAGAUGGGGUGUGACUUUAGGGGAGGCAGCUGAAGCAAUUCCCCAAAGGACAGACAGCUGAAGGUCAUCUGCUGAGGACACUUCUCACUGCAUGGGACCUAGGAGUUGUAAAAAUGUCUCAUAAUCCGAGAACAAGAUUGCUCAAUGAAACUCAUAUCUUUUAAAUUCAGAACAAAUAGUAAAAAGGAAAUUUGUCUUACAGAGUUCCAGAGCCAUCAACAGAGGAUCUAAGAUAAAAGGAACAACUUCUUUAACAAGGAGAGAUUGGGCCACCAAGAAGAAACAGUGAAUACUUUUAUUUAGUAAAAGGCUGCCUCUCUCCACUGAUAAAAAAACAAAGACAGCUGGACGAUUUAUGCUUCCAGCACACUUGGCAAAGACGAUUGCAAUUCACCUCUUGAUUCUUCGCUACCAAGACCCAAUGAAGACAUCAAGCAAGGAAAGGAGAUAGCAACUUACUGGAAAGGAAGUGCUGGGAGGCUGGUCCAAAGUCCCUGUGCGCUUCAUGCAGCUGCCUGAUGCGGUCCUCAAUGGCCACCUGGGAGGAAGAGGAGAGAAAUGAUGUUCUCUCAUCAGAUAUAAUGAGGAGCAAUGAAAACAAUGUACCC